AUUCUUCCAGCUGCUACACGGACACGGACGCGGCGUGAAAGCGCUUCAUCAACAGUUUGCACCAGCGUCAUCUGCUCAACCACCGAGUAAAAUCCUCAGGGGCUUUUGACAGAAACGACCACCGCGUUCAGACAGAGCACUUCUUCUCCCAAUGUCGACUCUCUCAAGAGUUGCAGCAGAGAGUCGUGCUGAAGAGUUUCACGGAGAAGAGGGAAAAUUAGCAAGCAGCGCUGUGGCUUUCCAAGUAAAGUUCUGUGAUACACUCCGACUCUAAUUGUUUGCAGUCAGUGCAUUACAGAACUUUGUUUUGGGAGUUUAAAGCUCAAGCCUGGAGGAAACAAUCAUUCCAUCUGGAUGAAGCUGUAACAGCCUCUUGAAAACAGCAUUAAACUCCACAUCCUGUGUCCCUCAACAACAUGCACCAAUAAAUCACAUCAUUAUCAUCA